ACUUAGGCUACUUUGACAAGGGGUGUGCGUCCAUUUUGAGGCUUGCCGCAAGUAUUCACCAAUCGUUAAUUUAACAUGCAGUAAGCGUCACAUCACAGAGUAAUAUCUGCCUGUGUAACCCUGAUAACAGGGUCUCCACCCGUAAUUGUACAUGUAAUUGGUUACAUGUGCCCGUAAUUCACCUCCAGCACCGCGUAAAAUCCACCCGUAAUCACUGGGUCUCCACCCGUAAUUGUACGUGUAAUUGGUUACAUGUGCCCGUAAUUCACCUCCAGCACCGCGUAAAAUCCACCCGUAAUCACUGGGUCUUCACCCGUAAUUUCGCGUGUAAUUGGUUACAUGCGCCUGUAAUUCACCUCCAACACCGCGUAAAAUCCACCCGUAAUCACUGGGUCUUCACCCGUAAUUUCGCGUGUAAUUGGUUACAUGCGCCCGUAAUUCACCUCCAACACCGCGUAAAAUCCACCCGUAAUCACUGGGUCUUCACCCGUAAUUUCGCGUGUAAUUGGUUACAUGCGCCCGUAAUUCACCUCCAGCACCGCGUAAAAUCCACCCGUAAUCACUGGGUCUUCACCCGUAAUUUUGCGUGUAAUUGGUUACAUGCGCCCGUAAUUCACCUCCAGCACCGCGUAAAAUCCACCCGUAAUCACUGGGUCUUCACCCGUAAUUUUGCGUGUAAUUGGUUACAUGCGCCCGUAAUUAAC
rnacentral:lncRNA from 1 species